AACGAACGCUGGCGGCAUGCCUAACACAUGCAAGUCGAACGAGACCUUCGGGUCUAGUGGCGCACGGGUGCGUAACGCGUGGGAAUCUGCCCUUGGGUUCGGAAUAACACAGGGAAACUUGUGCUAAUACCGGAUAAGCCCUUACGGGGAAAGAUUUAUCGCCGAAAGAUCGGCCCGCGUCUGAUUAGCUAGUUAGUGAGGUAACGGCUCACCAAGGCGACGAUCAGUAGCUGGUCUGAGAGGAUGAUCAGCCACAUUGGGACUGAGACACGGCCCAAACUCCUACGGGAGGCAGCAGUGGGGAAUAUUGGACAAUGGGCGCAAGCCUGAUCCAGCCAUGCCGCGUGAGUGAUGAAGGCCCUAGGGUUGUAAAGCUCUUUUGUGCGGGAAGAUAAUGACGGUACCGCAAGAUAAGCCCCGGCUAACUUCGUGCCAGCAGCCGCGGUAAU
rnacentral:rRNA from 1 species